rnacentral:lncRNA from 1 species
AUGGAACCAAGCCGACAGGAGCAGAGAAAAACAAGAAAGACCCUUCUCUCUGCUUCCUCCCUCCAAUCCCCCAUAGCGUCUGCAGUUGGUAGAAACCAAGAGAAAAUUAGCAAACUUUGCAUUCUGGGAAAUGUACUUCACAGGGGCACAAAGGUGGUGGUUUUCUCUGCUCCAGAAAUCAAGCAUCCAAUACGACAACAAGCGAAUGUUGUAGUCAUCUACCAGAUUAAAGAUGAAGAAAUACAGAAGAUAAAUCUGAAACAUUGUGUGCCCCCAAAUAAGAAAACCGUGAAAGGAAAAUGAGGCAUUGUCAAAAUGACACAUGAGCCAGCUUGAGUGUACUUUCACUGACCGAAGGUGAGACAAUGAAAGAAUCAAUGAUAACCAUGAUUGAUUAAAACACAUUUAAGAUCUAAAAAGCCGUGCAUUCUUAAUGAUAUUUUAAAGAAAGAGAAACAAUCAAAACUCUUGAGAUACUGGAUAACACUAGAACUUGUCUGGGCACCAAGUCAAUAUUCUGAAAAUUGUCAACUGAGGGGAAGGAAUUAGGCAUUUACUUUGCCAUUCUGAAGUAAACUCUAUGCCAAAAGGCCUGUAGGCAUGGGAAAGAGUAUUGCAUACAAAUAGUUCAGUUAAUAAAUAUAGAAUGAUAGAAUUAGAAAAACACUUUACAGUCUCCAAUAAAAUAACUAACUAAAGUAAUCAUCAAUAUGAUGAUGGUUGAUGGGUAAUUUAUUGUCUAAACAAAGAUACUUUGUGAGGAAAAAAAAGGGUGCACUAUUGAUAAUUAUGCCAGGAAACAGGCAUAAACUAGCACUUAGCUGGUGGGGGAGACAGCAAGAUCAUGAAGGUGGUUUUCUCAGGGCAAGACUUAUCCAUUGCACUCUGGAUGUGCUGACCUCUGUGAAUUCUCCAAAUGUGAGAAACUCGACUGCAUAAUUUGUGGUAGUGGGGGACUGCAUUCGUGCUUUCCACUAGGACAAUAAAAUAAAAUAAAACCAGGCAUAAACUGGUAUGAUUCCAGGCAAAUAUAUGAAAUAUAUGCCAGGUCAGCCUAUACUGGAGAACCUGACAAUAAAGAGAACAGGCUGCCCUGGAUGAGCUCCUGAUUAAUUUUAGCAGAAUAAAGACAAGACAAUAAAAACUGCUGGGCACGGUGGGUCAUACCUGUAAUCCAGCACUUUGGGAAGCUGAGGCAGGCAGAUCGUGAGGUCAGGAAUUUGAGACCAGCCUGGCCAACAUAAUGAAACCCUGUGUCUACUAAAGAUACAAAAAACUAGCUGGGAGUGCCUGUGAUCCCAAAUACUUGCGAGACUGAGGCAGGAAAAUUGCGUGAAUCUGGGAGGUGGAGGUUACAGUGAGCCGAGUUUGCGCCAUUGCAUUCUAGCCUGGGCGACAGGGUGAGACUCCAUCUCAAAAAAGAAGACAGUAAAACCUUAUAUGCCUUCUGAUGUGAGGUAAUAUGAAGGAUUCAGGAUUGUCUAAG